CACAUUAAUCAGCUUCUUUCUGCUCAGGUUCGGCAGACGCUCGGCACUCUCUGCAGGGUUGUGCAAAUUGUUCCACCGUGCAGGCGCUGGCAGGUCGGACUGCGUGUUUGCUCGUUUUGUCCCGGAGCUAUGCCACGCUGAGGUCCCGACUGCCCUGACCCGUUUUGGACUGCUGCUGCUUUGUGUGGGGAUAAAACCCACACUUUUUACGGACCUUGCCUGCUGCUGCGUUCGGGUGCUGAGGGCCUCACUGGUGAUCCUGUUUGGUGAUGGUGUCCCUUCGUGUGUAGUGUCUUAUUCACUCCCCUCCUUUGCUUUGCCCUUGUGUGUUUGGAGUGUUAAUUUUGGAUUGUGGUGCUCCCAUUUUAAGUUUAUACUUUCACCCCUCACUCACCUUGAGCACAAAUGCCCCAGCCCUGGAAUACAUGAUAAUUUAUACAAAUAGGAUAACUUUUUAGAUUUGAAUUGUGCCCAAUAAACUGUUGUAUAUGCUUUUGGAAACACGUCUCUCGCCUGCUCAGUGUAACGAACUUGUGUUGUCCUUUUGUUUAGAUUUAGUAAUUUACCUUAUUCAUAGAUUUCUUUCUUUUCCCUGGGUGAUUUCUCCCAGGGUGGCGUUGCUGGUUUCCUUUAGUUUCUUUCUUUUUC
ensembl:lncRNA